GAUGAACGCUGGCGGCGUGCCUAAUACAUGCAAGUCGAGCGAACAGACGAUGAGCUUGCUCCUCUGACGUUAGCGGCGGACGGGUGAGUAACACGUGGAUAACCUACCUAUAAGACUGGGAUAACUUCGGGAAACCGGAUCUAAUACCGGAUCAUAUAUUGAACCGCAUGGUUCAAUAGUGAAAGACGGUUUUGCUGUCACUUAUAGAUGGAUCCGCGCCGCAUUAGCUAGUUGGUAAGGUAACGGCUUACCAAGGCAACGAUGCGUAGCCGACCUGAGAGGGUGAUCGGCCACACUGGAACUGAGACACGGUCCAGACUCCUACGGGAGGCAGCAGUAGGGAAUAUUCCGCAAUGGGCGAAAGCUUGACGGAGCAACGCCGCGUGGGUGAUGAAGGUCUUCGGAUCGUAAAACUCUGUUAUUAGGGAAGAACAAAUGUGUAAGUAACUAUGCACGUCUUGACGGUACCCAAUCAGAAAGCAACGGCUAACUACGUG
rnacentral:rRNA from 1 species